rnacentral:sRNA from 1 species
AACGGGGAAGGGGAGGGGGUCUAAAUCUUGACGAGAGAAUUACAAUUUAUAGUUUUUUUUCUUUUUCCCCUUUGCCCCACAGGAAUUGUUUAUU